AGCUACGACUCUAUGUGCUGCUGCAUGUGGUUUUUUAAGUUAUGCUUUCGGCGAAAACCAAGUGAGCAGACACUGCACUUGAAAGGAUAAUCGUCUGUGUGCAUGCGCUUGUGUUUACCCAGGUUUGAA
rnacentral:lncRNA from 1 species